rnacentral:rRNA from 1 species
GCAGCCGCGGUAAUACGUAGGUGGCAAGCGUUAUCCGGAUUAUUGGGCGUAAAGAGAGUGCAGGCGGUUUCGUAAGUCUGAUGUGAAAGCCUUACGGCUUAACCGGAGAAGUGCAUCGGAAAACUGGUAUAAACUUGAGUGCGGAAGAGGGUAGUGGAACUCCAUGUGUAGCGGUGGAAUGCGUAGAUAUAUGGAAGAACACCAGUGGCGAAGGCGGCUACCUGGUCUGCAACUGACGCUGAGACUCGAAAGCAUGGGGUAGCGAACAGGAUUAGAUACCCUGGUAG